GACGAACGCUGGCGGCGUGCUUAACACAUGCAAGUCGAGCGGUAAGGCCCUUUCGGGGGUACACGAGCGGCGAACGGGUGAGUAACACGUGGGUGACCUGCCCUCAGCUCUGGAAUAAGCCUGGGAAACUGGGUCUAAUACCGGAUAUGACUCCAUGACGCAUGUUGUGGGGUGGAAAGCCUUGUGCGGCUGAGGAUGGGCCCGCGGCCUAUCAGCUUGUUGGUGGGGUGAUGGCCUACCAAGGCGACGACGGGUAGCCGGCCUGAGAGGGCGACCGGCCACACUGGGACUGAGACACGGCCCAGACUCCUACGGGAGGCAGCAGUGGGGAAUCUUGCGCAAUGGGCGAAAGCCUGACGCAGCGACGCCGCGUGAGGGAAGAAGGCCUCGGU
rnacentral:rRNA from 1 species